GAUGAGAACGUAGCGAAAUGCGAUACUUGGUGUGAAUUGCAGAAUCCCGUGAACCAUCGAGUCUUUGAACGCAAGUUGCGCCCGAAGCCGUCAGGCCGAGGGCACGCCUGCCUGGGCGUCACACGCCGUUGCCCCCCCGCGCCCCGCACCCAACUCUUUGGGAGCGACCGCGGGGCGGGCUGAUGAUGGCCUCCCGUGCGCUCCGCCGCGCGGUUGGCCCAAAUACCGAGUCCCCGGCGACGUGCGCCACGACGAUCGGUGGUUGAGAGACCUCUGUCGCAAGUCGUGCGCGCCCGUCGCGUCACGCGGGCUCGCAUAGCGCCUCGCGCCGCACCCGGUGCGGAGCUUUCAACGCGACCCCAGGUCAGGCGGGGUUACCCGCUGAAUUUAAGCAUAUCAAUAAGCGGAGGA
rnacentral:misc_RNA from 1 species